CAGAUUUAAAGACUUCAAAAGGGAAAAUGUUUUGGAAAGCAUGUUGAUUAUGAUUUCCCACCUGUUGCCGGUAAGUGAAUUACUUGGUGUAGAGAACAUCUUCCCAUGGGUGACGGUAUAGAGGUUGUUUCAAUCUCUUCUGGUCAAAGGUAUGCCUGAGAUUUGAAUGAGAAGCAAUAAGUCAGAUUCAGGAUGCAGCGAAAAAGAGGGAUAAUAUACAGAGAAACUGCAAUUUUCUCUAUAUCUAUGAGACACCACAAUUGGACGUCAGAAUCACAGUCAAGUAAUCCCAAAGUACCAGAUAGCAUAAGAUUAAUGGAACCGUUCAUUUUCCGUUGUGAACAAGUUGAAAUCACUAUCAGUAUGCAUAGCAACAUCCUAAUCUACAAAAGAAGUCAUCUGACCCUCACAGCAUCACAGCCAAGUGCAACAUAACUAAAAACCCUAAACAUAUCGAAAGGCAUAAAAAAGCCACAUUGCUAUCACUAUUUGUAGCAAGAAGCAAUUCCAGAUAAGAAUCAUUGUGGUAACAAACACUAGAAACCAGAAACUCCAAUUUUCAUUAUUUUUUGUUCUCUUGAUAAACAAAGUCCUAUCCCAAUAUCAACAGCGAAGUUUUGCAAAGAAAGCAAAAGUUAAGCAUAUAGCCCAAAUGAGCUUCGAAAAGAAAAGUGUAAUUUUACUUACCCAAUCAAACCGAUGGAGCGUGCCAGAACAAAGAGCCCAUUCAGAUAUCCAAUUUCCACUAUCUCAUCGAUUUCUUGCUUGCUGAACAUUCCACUGCCGGCAAGAAGAUCCAAGAAAAGGGACCCAAUUGCACCAUCUACAUUAAGAACCAGGUUGUUUGCUUUUGAUAGAGUGUAGGUUUCAACUUGAACAGCAUAUUCCAUAUACUUCACAGAAGGGAAAUGAGUGCGUGCAAAUUUUUGUAGCAGCUCCACUCUUUGGUCUCUGUUAUCUCCU
rnacentral:lncRNA from 1 species